AGGAAGAAAGAGGAGGAGGAGGAGGAAGAAAGAGGAGGAGGAGGAAGAAAGAGGAGGAGGAGGAAGAAAGAGGAGGAGGAGGAAGAAAGAAGAGGAGGAGGAGGAGGGAGCAGUUCACUUUGAUGGGAUGGACCAGGAGCAUAGGCCGUUGAUUGAUGAGAUGUCCAUGCAUACUGUCAGGCAGCCUGGAGUUGGGCUUACUGGCCAGCUCUGCUGCUCUUCCCAUGAGAGUCUCGAGGUUGGUGGGAGGCAAGACUGAAUGAUCUCAGCAUCUGUUAGGACCUCUCAGCUGUUUUCACAGAACGGAAUGUCACCUAUAUCUAAGUAUAGGUGUUCUGAAACAAACGACCAACGUCCA
rnacentral:lncRNA from 1 species